rnacentral:rRNA from 1 species
CCUACGGGAGGCAGCAGUGGGGAAUAUUGCACAAUGGGGGGAACCCUGAUGCAGCGACGCCGCGUGAGUGAAGAAGUAUUUCGGUAUGUAAAGCUCUAUCAGCAGGAACGAGACAAGACGGUACCUGACUAAGAAGCCCCGGCUAACUACGUGCCAGCAGCCGCGGUAAUACGUAGGGGGCAAGCGUUAUCCGGAAUCACUGGGUGGAAAGGGAGCGUAGACGGCUGAGCAAGCCUGAAGUGAAAGGCGGGGGCCCAACCCCCGGACUGCUUUGGGAACUGUACGGCUGGAGUGCAGGAGGGGCAAAUGGAAUUCCUAGUGUAGCGGUGGAAUGCGUAGAUAUUAGGAGGAACACCAGUGGCGAAGGCGAUUUGCUGGACUGUAACUGACACUGAGGCACGAAAGCGUGGGGAGCAAACAGGAUUAGAUACCCCAGUAGUC